GCGGAAGGAUCAUUACAGCGAAGCGGCGCGAGCCGCCUUUCGAACCACCGCGUACCGAACCCCCCACGUUGCCUCGGCGGGCGCCGGGCGCCCCGCGCCCGCCCCGCCGAACGGCCCCCCAGCAAGACCCCUUCCGUCGAGAUGGCGUCGUCUGAACCCUCCGGGGAAAACGUUUGAAACGAAAAACACAGCUUUCAACAAUGGAUCUCUUGGCUCCGGCAUCGAUGAAGAACGCAGCGAAACGCGAUAGCUAGUGUGAAUUGCAGAUUUCAGUGAAUCAUCGAGUCUUUGAACGCACAUUGCGCCUCUUGGUAUUCCUCGAGGCAUGCCUGUUCGAGCGUCGUUACGCCCCUCAAGCGCGAGCUUGGUGUUGGGGACCGCCCCUGAGACACGGCGGCGGCCCCGGAAUGCAUCGGCGGUGCUGGUCCCAGCCCGGAGCGCAGCAGACAUGCGGCUCCGCGGGCGGGGCCGGCGCCCGCCGGACAAACGACGAGACCCCUCCACAAGUCGACCUCGA
rnacentral:misc_RNA from 1 species